rnacentral:rRNA from 1 species
UACGUAGGGAGCAAGCGUUGUCCGGAAUCAUUGGGCGUAAAGCGCGCGUAGGUGGCCUCAUAAGUCCGCUGUGAAAGCCAAAGGCUCAACCUUUGAAAGCCGGUGGAUACUGUGAGGCUAGAGUACGGAAGAGGCGAGUGGAAUUCCUGGUGUAGCGGUGGAAUGCGCAGAUAUCAGGAGGAACACCAAUAGCGAAGGCAGCUCGCUGGGACGUUACUGACACUGAGGCGCGAAAGCGUGGGGAGCGAACAGG